AAAGUAUAUGGCAUGGCAUUCACAAAAAUAUUUAAAAUAUAUGUUAAUUGUUAGAAAAAUGGUAUGAUAAUCCUGGAUAUCUUCAAGAAUCGUAUUUGUUCACUUUCUGAACAAAGUAUUUCGACCUUAUUUUUGUCGGGUUCACGAAAUCUUUGCGGGGAUAAUUCUUGAAGAACAAUCUGUUUCUGACAAUAGAGAGCAGAUCGGAAUGUAGAGAGGAAGUAUGUAAUUUCGUAUCCCAAAUCGAGACCAAAAGACUCCUUAUAUAGGAGACCAAUAAUAGAAACGAUCAGACACACAUUUUCGGAAAAACAAUUAUGCCCCUUGGACCCCGGCAGGGCGCUGCCCCGCACCCCGCCAAGGCACUGGCGGAGCCAAGGCCCGGCGAGGAUGGGCACUUGCCCGGGCUCUUCUUCCUCAUGUAGCCUCAAGCCCCAACAGUACAUGCUCAACAAUCACUUGGACUUUCGUUUGGAUUCGCGCAUAGUUUUGGUUCAGUCAUGAUUUCUAGCCUCAAGCCCCAACAACAUAUGCUUAAGAAGUGUUCGAUGAAAUGCCUCCACCGGUUUCUUCUCUUUUCUUCUGAUUAUGUUUUUAUUUUCUUGUGAUGGGAUGUUAAAUUGUUAUACUAAUGAUGAUGCAGCCUGUGAAUUAGUUUUUUCUGCCGUUAUCGCUAUUUUGAAACUCGCACGCCACAUGUUCGAUGAAAUGCAUAGGUGCUACUUCUUGUUGACUUCACAUUUCAUAAACCGUUGUGUCACAUCUGUUUUCGCGGUAAUAGAUCGUAGCUAAAUGAAUAAAUAAUGAUGCAGGAAUACUGAUCAUGCUCCGAAAGAUGUACCUUGUAUGGUUAAAAUGAAUUGUGCUGCAUCUUAUUCAACAAAGUCAAAUUGGUCUUUGUGCUACUGAUAUAUAAAAACUUAACUUUGGCUUAUAUGUUGGCAUGUUUUAAGGGAAAUGAUCUGUGGCUGCUAGCAAGGAGAUGAUCUGGAUGGACUCCUUAGUUUGGAAGGAUAUGCAGUGCUUCACUUUAAGAGAUCCUCUAACUCCGCUUCAAUGGGAAGAAUUGGUUGUAAGAUUUACUUUUGCAAGGAAGAUGAGGUUUGUUUAAUACAAAUCCUUGCUCUUUGAGGUCCCCUUUUGAGAGGGAGUUUUUGUGAAGCCCAAAGGUUCGAUUAACAACUUACUGCAGCCUAUUGCUCCGUAGAAUAUUAAACCAGUUGCAUUUGAACCAAAAGCAACUGACAUGAACAACAGCUUUAGAAAUGUACCGGGUAAGGAAUCCAACUCUGCUCUAAACUUUAUGCUCCCAAUGUGCAUACUAUUCACAGUAUUUCCAUCAUCUUUCCUUUUUCCUCAAAAUAUUUCUAUUCUCUCUCCCCCUCUCUCUAUUCUACCAACAACAUUUUCCUUUUCUCAAACUUUGUUUUACCCUAACUUGUUUUAAUUCGUUAUUUGGUUUUUGAGUUCCAUAUGGGUAGGCCGUUUGAGCCCGUGAAGAACAUCAAUGAGAUGAAGGAGAUGUGGAAAAUAGUCGUUUGAAUCCAUCACAAAUGGGUUGUUAACAAAAAUAAGAAACAUUUUGAGAUGGUUGUCGUUGAUAACGAUAUUAUUAGAUAUGUUUGGAGAAAAAUAGUGGGAGAAGUUUGCCAAGAGAGUGAAGCAGCGGAGGAUGGCAACAAGGGUUGUCAAAGAAAAGCGAGAUGCCUCUCCAUGAAAGAAGUUUGCCUGUUUCAAUCUAAUGUCCUGCUAUUCAUCGAGGACUGAGUCGUGAAUCAUAUAACCUAACUGUGGUUAUUCCAAAAGCUCUCAUGCCUCAUGAGUUGGUGAAGUAAGAGUUGUUUCCGAUAUGCGUAAGCGGAAAGCGGCAGUGGCUUAAGAAGCUGAUGCUUUUAUUGCACUCCCUGGCAGAUAGUUACAUGAAUAACCAUGAAAUGAUGAGUGGGGUUCAAAAGAGGUUAUUUUCUGGUUAAAUCUGGUUCAGAAGCAGCUGCAACAAGCUAUUGAUAAGGAGAAAAUACAGUCAAGACUGACAAAUCUGAAAGCAUUGAGGGUAUAUGUAUGUUGAAGAGUGUAAUAUGGCUUUAUUGGUUCCUUAACUUAAUGUAUGUGAUUAAGGUACAUAAAAUUGUUUCCUUUAUUUGUUCGCAACCUUAGGACCCAAUCUGAAUGGUUUGUUUGGGAGACAAUCUGGGACAACUCCUUGAUACUUCUAUUCUGCGGCUAACAAGAACAAGGUUGUGAAUGGGAUGAGAAAGCCCUGUAUGAUUACUUGCUUAACCCUAAGAAGUACAUCCCAGGGACAAAGAUGGUGUUUCCUGGUCUUAAGAAGCCUCAGGAUCGUGCUGAUCUUAUUGCAUAUCUGAAGCAAGCCACUGCAUCAGAAUAGAAUUUUCGUGACAGGAUGUAUUAUCUACUUUUUUGGGUAGGUUUACCUUCGCACAGUAUACCUAAUGCAGACAGUACACAGUAACAGUGGCAUGGGAUUAAUGGUACACCAAAGUAGUACACAUAUAUAUGUGAUAUUUUAUACACUCUACAACAGUUGAAAAGACACACUAAUGAUGGCUAUUUUCCUCACUUGUCCACACCUGCUGAAACUACAGAAUUUCUGCUGCACUUUUAUACACAGGUUUCAACAUAAAAAAAGAGCAUUUGAGGUGCCAUUUUGAUGAAUAAUUCAUACUCCCGCCAGAAUUACUUUUCUUUCUGCUACACAGGGAGGGGUUAUUAAGUUUUCAACUAAAUAUCUUUAUGCAAUGUUACUAUGUUCCUGAAAUGAAAUAUUAAGAAAUAUUAUGAAAUUUUAUUGCUCUUAAAUUAUUUUUAAUACUAUUUAUGUUAUCGUGUUCUUAAUGGACGCUAUAAAUUAUAUGU